GCCAGCAGAACCACUCUGAAAAGAUGC
rnacentral:piRNA from 1 species